AACGAACGCUGGCGGCAUGCCUAACACAUGCAAGUCGAACGAGACCUUCGGGUCUAGUGGCGCACGGGUGCGUAACGCGUGGGAACCUGCCCUUAGGUUCGGAAUAACUCCCCGAAAGGGGUGCUAAUACCGGAUAAUGUCUUCGGACCAAAGAUUUAUCGCCUUUGGAUGGGCCCGGGUUGGAUUAGCUAGUUGGUAGGGUAAAAGCCUACCAAGGCGACGAUCCAUAGCUGGUCUGAGAGGAUGAUCAGCCACACUGGGACUGAGACACGGCCCAGACUCGUACGGGAGGCAGCAGUGGGGAAUAUUGGACGAUGGGCGAAAGCCUGAUCCAGCAAUGCCGCGUGAGUGAGGAAGGCCUUAGGGUUGUAAAGCUCUUUUACCCGGGAUGAUAAUGACAGUACCGGGAGAAUAAGCUCCGGCUAACUCCGUG
rnacentral:rRNA from 1 species